UGGGUGCUUAGCUCAGUUGGUAGAGCGUCGCCCUUACAAGGCGAAUGUCGGGGGUUCGAAUCCCUCAGCACCCAUUCA
rnacentral:tRNA from 2 species